AAACUUUCAACAACGGAUCUCUUGGCUCUGGCAUCGAUGAAGAACGCAGCGAAAUGCGAUACGUAAUGUGAAUUGCAGAAUCCAGUGAAUCAUCGAAUCUUUGAACGCACAUUGCGCCCGCCAGCAUUCUGGCGGGCAUGCCUGUCCGAGCGUCAUA
rnacentral:rRNA from 2 species